rnacentral:rRNA from 1 species
AUUAAACGCUGGCGGCAUGCCUUACACAUGCAAGUCGAACGGUAGCGCGGGGCAACCUGGCGACGAGUGGCGAACGGGUGAGUAAAGCAUCGGAACGUGCCCUGGAAUGGGGGAUAACGUAGCGAAAGUUACGCUAAUACCGCAUAUUCUGUGAGCAGGAAAGCAGGGGAUCGCAAGACCUUGCGUUCUGGGAGCGGCCGAUGUCGGAUUAGCUAGUUGGUGGGGUAAAGGCCUACCAAGGCGACGAUCCGUAGCGGGUCUGAGAGGAUGAUCCGCCACACUGGGACUGAGACACGGCCCAGACUCCUACGGGAGGCAGCAGUGGGGAAUUUUGGACAAUGGGCGCAAGCCUGAUCCAGCCAUGCCGCGUGAGUGAAGAAGGCCUCGGUUGUAAG